rnacentral:rRNA from 1 species
GACGAACGCUGGCGGCGUGCUUAACACAUGCGAGUCGAACGGAAAGGCCCCUUUGGGGGUACUCGAGUGGCGAACGGGUGAGUAACACGUGAGUAACCUGCCCUUGACUUCGGGAUAACUUCAGGAAACUGGGGCUAAUACCGGAUAGGAAUCCUUGCUGCAUGGUGGGGGUUGGAAAGCUUCGGCGGUUUUGGAUGGACUCACGGCUUAUCAGCUUGUUGGUGGGGUAGUGGCUUACCAAGGCUUUGACGGGUAGCCGGCCUGAGAGGGCGACCGGCCACAUUGGGACUGAGAUACGGCCCAGACUCCUACGGGAGGCAGCAGUGGGGAAUAUUGCACAAUGGGCGGAAGCCUGAUGCAGCAACGCCGCGUGCGGGAUGACGGCCUUCGGGUUGUAAACCGCUUUAGCAGGGGCGAAGCUUGUGGUGACGGUACCUGCAGAAGAAGCACCGGCUAACUACGUG